rnacentral:rRNA from 1 species
GGAUUAGAUACCCUGGUAGUCCACGCUGUAAACGAUGAGUGUUAGAUGUCGGAAUCUUCGGAUUUCGGUGUCGUAGCUAACGCGUUAAACACUCCGCCUGGGGAGUAAGAUCGCAAGAUUAAAACUCAAAGGAAUUGACGGGGACCUGCACAAGUGGUGGAACAUGCGGUUUAAUUCGAUGCUACGCGAAGAACCUUACCAACUCUUGACAUGGUGAUCGUAGGAUGCAGAAAUGUAUUUGUCAGUUCGGCUGGAUCACACACAGGUGUUGCAUGGCCGUCGUCAGCUCGUGCCG